GACGAACGCUGGCGGCGUGCCUAAUACAUGCAAGUCGAGCGAAGCGGCGGCUGGGUGAGUAACGCGUGGGUAACCUGCUCUUAAGUUUGGGAUACCAUUUGCAAACAGAUGCUAAUACCGGAUAUCAAAGGAUGGUCCUGCGAUGCAUUAGCUAGUCGGUAAGGGAACGGCUUACCAAGGCGAUAAUGCAUAGCGGGUUUAGGAAACGGAUCGGCAACAUUGGGACUGAGACACGGCCCAAACGCCUACGGGAGGAAGCAAUAGGGAAUCUUCCACAAUAGAGGAAAAUCUGAUGGAGCAACGCCGCGUGGGUGAGGAAGGUUUUCGGAUCGUAAAGCUCUGUUAUUAGUGAGGCGGUAAUCAACCAGAAAGACACGGCUGACUACGUGCCAGCGGCCGCGGUAAUUC
rnacentral:rRNA from 1 species